AGCCAUGCGGACGGGAAAGGGAAGAAAUGAGCGAGAUCUGUGAGGCAGAGGCCAGAGAUGAAGAAAGAAAGAAACCCCGAUGAUGAAGGCGAUUCCCCCACCUCACGGUCUCAGAGACAGAUGCAGACAAGCAGGUGCAGCCUGACUUCCUCUGAGGAUAAACAAAGCUCAUCAUGCCAUCGUACUUGUGAGGCUCUCGUUUAUGGAAAGUGACUUGCUGCUCAGUGUCGACAACCACGGCGUACGGUGGGAUCCAAUAAUGCUAAUGCAUUGUUAUCAACUUUGAUGACGGCUCUACAUCUUGUCUUGAGUGCUCAGAUGAAAUAUUGCUCCCAAUCCUCAAGCUACUCCCAAGAUUACGCAAAAAAACUACAGAACAGAUUUCCACGAAACCUGGUGGAAGGAUGGGUCAUGGGCCAAAAAAGAACCCACUUCAUUUUGGCAAAGAUCUGGACAAAGGGGCACCACUUCCUUUACCAUUUUUCCCAUGGAAAAAUACAUGGAUCUUGAUGGCAGCUUGAUUGAAUUGAAGGUGACUGUUGGGCUUUGGCAGAGAUAUGCGCUCCGCUGAGUACCUUUGUAGUUUUUAUUUUUUUUUGUAUUUUUGUUAUUAUAUUCUUCUGUUCAAAUUACUUGCUUCUUUUUGCAAUUUCAUGUGAAGCCCAAUGACUUUAUUUGUCAGGAAAUGUGAUAGACACAAAAAAUGCAGGGCUUCACCUGUUCUGGAUCGAUGGUGUACCUGCAUUAUAUUCUGUAUAGAUUGUGUGGUUGAGUGAAUCAAAGUCCUUCCCUAGCGAGUUGUUUUGUUCAUCAUGCAGAAUUUGGUGGGCUUGUAUUUUCCUCAAAAAAAGAAAGGAACAUUUGUUGUGUUGAUGUCACUCAGUCAUACAGUAUUGAUCGACUUCAACCGAGACUGUGCAACUUUUGCUCAACAGAUGCAACUUAAGCCACGAGAGACGAGAUAGUUCACAGAGGAUUCUUUGUAUCUAGGAUUAGAGUUAUCAUAUUCUCAAAAAAAUGUUGUCGCUAAUUGCGCACCUGUAAUCUGAUAACCUGUAACAGGAUUUCAAAGUAGUACGGGCAUAAAUUAAAGUCAAUAAGCUUGUGAGCUUGUUAAGUGAUGUUCACAAAUAAUUCUUAAGCCUGUAGUUGUAAAGCAAUGUUUGUAACCUCUAAAAUAAAUCUGCAUGAGAUUCAUCUGCAUGAGCUUGGACAUGUUGGGAAAAGAUUUACAUUUAAAAAAUAAGAAACAAGACAAUGAAUAAAAUGUGACACAAAUCACACAAAAA